UUGGUGAGUUUGAUCCUGGCUCGGGAUGAACGUUGGAGGCAUGCCUUGAGACAUGCAAGUUGGUCGGAAAUCAUUUCAAAUUUAAUUUCCGUAGCGGACGGGUGCGUAACACGUGAGAAUCAACCCUUAGGGACGAGGAUAAAGGUCGGUGACGAUUUCUAAAACUCUAUAAGCCGUGUCAAUUACCCAUGUAGUUGUCGGUGAAGAUUUCCUAGGGACGAGCUUGCGCCUGAUUAGUUAGUUGGCGAGGUAAUGGCUCACCAAGACUAUGAUCAGUAGCUGGUUUGAGAGAGCGGUCAGCCACAUUGGGAUUGAGAUACGGCCCAAACUUCUUCGGGGGGCAGCAGUCGGGAAUUUUCCGCAAUGGGCGCAAGCCUGACGGAGCGAUGCCUUGUGGAGGAUGAAGGAUCAUAAAGGUUCGUAAACUCCUUUUAUUAAGGAACAUUAAUUGUCGUUUCCGUAUUUAGAUAGUACUUAAAGAAUCAAGUAUCGGCUAACUCUGUGCCAGCAGCCGCGGUAAUACGGGGGAUGCAAACGUUGUCCAGUUGUAUUGGGCGUAAAGCGUCCGUAGGUGGACUGGUAAGUUUAUUGUUAAAGAUUCUGGCUCAACCAGGAAAAAGCAAUGAAAACUGCUGGACUAGAGAGUGGACGGGGUGAAGAGAAUAUCUAGUGGAGCGGUAAAAUGCGAUGAUAUUAGGCGGAACACCAGUGGCGAAAGCGCUUCACUAGACCAUUUCUGACACUGAGGGACGAAAGCUAGGGGAGCAAAAAGGAUUAGGUACCCUUGUAGUCCUAUCGCUGUAAACGCUGGGUACUAGAUGUCGCAGUGGUGCGGUGUCUUAGCUAACGCGUUAAGUACCCCGCCUGGGGAGUACGCUCGCAAGGGUGAAACUCAAAGGAAUUGACGGGACCCCUCGCAAGCGGUGGAGCAUGCUGUUUAAUUCGAUCAACGCGAAGAACCUUACCUAGAUUUGACCUUCUAUAAAUCUCCAUGAAAAUGGAGGAAACCAAACUUACAUGGUGUAAAAGCUUCUUAGGGAGCAGUAGUUACAGGUGGUGCAUGGCUGUCGUCAGUUCGUGUCGUGAGAUGUCAGGUUAAGUCCUAGUAACGAACGCAACCCUUAUCCUUAGUUAAUUAUAUGUCUAGGGAAACGGCCAACGAUCAAGUUGGAGGAAGGAGAGGAUGACGUCAAGUCAGCAUGCCCCGUAUGUCUAGGGCUACAAGCGUGCUACAAUGACUAUUCAACAAAAAGUCGCAACUUUGUGAAAGGAAGCGAAUCUACAAAUGAGGUCACAGUUCGGAUUGUAGGCUGCAACUCGGCUACAUGAAGUUGGAAUCGCUAGUAAUCGCUGGUCAGCUAUACAGCGGUGAACUUGUUUCAGGGGUUUGUACACACCGCCCGUCACACCCCUGAAGUUGACUAUACCAGGCGUCGUUGUCUUAACCACA
rnacentral:rRNA from 1 species